AAGUCGUGUGCUGCUUGCCUGCUCGAGUUGAUGAGAAGCUUGACACUUGACAGCAACCGAGGAGUGCAUAUGUGGUGCCUGCCACUUCGGAUCAGAGGAAAGUGACGGGUUGAAAGUAUUGCAGCGCCAACAGUUUGUACUACUAUCAACUCGGCCAGUUCGAGCUCGUGCUGAAAAAGAACAGUAUUGCUAGACUUUGGCAACUUCAGUUUCAGUGACGCAUGCUAGUCAUGGACUCGUGGCUAGAUCCCUCGUACAUGAAGCUUCUUCCAUUCUUUAUGCAACCACAGAGGCCACAGUUGCUAUCAAUACAAAUACUCUUCUCAUCCGCAAGGGGUCCUGGGAACCUCGUCCACUGCAGAAGCUGGUGGGACUGUUGGGCUCCAAAUAGAAAUAUGCCAGUGGCUUUUGCUACGAUUUUUACCUGGCAAAGGAGGAGAAGGUGCAGGAGCCGUUGAACGUGAGCCAUGGGACGCCGAG